ensembl:lincRNA
CUCUACCCUGCCUCUAUUGUUGCAAACACUAAGAGCCUCUAGGCUUGUGUUUAUGGGAGUCUUUGCAUGAGCUCCCACCUUCUGUGGCUCUCUCCAUGCAGUGGGAGCUGACUGAAAGCUGAAAUGCAUAGCUGGGAGGACUCGUCCCUUUAGGAGACUGGUACCCAGCAUAGUAUAGCUUCUAGGGACUUCCGUUCGUCAUCCCUGAAACACUGCAGGAUUUUCCCCUGUCUCUUGGAUCACUUCUCUGACCUUAUCGUAAUUAACAGGAAUGUAGUGCACUGUUUCAUCCUCUCCACGAGUUGUCAUCUGAUUCCUAUGGUUCCUGUCUCACGGGUCUUCCUGAUAAUUUCACUUAAGGUUAUUUCUUACCACUGCAGUAUCUCCUACCUGGAGAACAUCAUGACCUUGGCUCCAGGCAAGCAUAGCAUCUGCAGGCUCCUGUGCACUUGGAAGAAUCCAUUGUUUCCCCUCCACGGUGCAGACAUGCAAGAGCAGCAUCUGAAAGUCACCUCGUGUCAAAUCGAAGGUAAGCUGUGCGUUGGCACCACUGAAUGGUGUUCCUCCGAAUGUGACACCCUGGGGAACGGCGUCAGAAGGGCCAAGAACAUUUACUGAAAUUCAGCUUCAGAGGCACCAGCAGACCGACGGGAUCCAUCAUUCUGGCAGGUCCCAGGAAUCUGCAUUUUAGCGGGUUCCCCAAAUGACGUUCUUGCAUAGCCGAGUCUGAGUGUUAUGAUUGUUAAGGACUCCAGAAGCAGCCUGGAUCCGUUGAAGAAGGAGUAGCUGCACUUAAUGCUUUCACCAAUGAGUUGGAGAGAGCAGCCCCCACGCAACAGACGCAAAACAUUCUUCAGCGUCAUGGGCAGCAAAUUGUGAAAUCCCAGUCUGGCUUCCACCUGGCACUCAGUGUACUUCUGGGCCAUCCUGCUUUGUGAUCAGGUGGUAUUUACUUGGGGAAUAAAAUCUUCAUAUUAACAUAAGCAAAACAUAAUUAGAAAAAUCUGUUAUAAAAACCAUUCUGCUUUCCAAGCCAAAUAUAAAUUACUUUGGGGUAAAGCAUGCCAGGAAUUCCACUUUGUUAGCUGUGUAAUUAAGAACGACUGUCAUGCCAAUUGCUGUCACUGUCUAGUUUUCUUAAUUGUUUGGACACUUGCACCCCACAUCCCUCCACAUACUCACAGUGUAUGUAGUUUGAAGGAGCUGCCGCAGAGACGAUAUUACUCAUUUUAGUAACAAGUGCAAAGUGCCUGCUUCCCCGGUCCAUUCUCUGCCCCUCUUAGUGUGCCCUGGGCGGUAGGGUGACCCUAAGGAUUGUGUCACCAUCGGGGCCCCGUCCGCCCUCUGGACUCUGAUCAGGGUUGAACGAUGAGAAGAACUGGCAAGGAAGAGGAGAGAGGCCGAGUAACUUUAACCCCCAACUUUCCUGCCUCCUUGGUGUUCUAGGUUUCUUUUUUCCUUUCUUUUUUUUGUACCAGGAAUAGAACUCACGACCUUGCACUUGCCAGGCAGGCGCUUUGCCGCUGAGCUAUAUCCCGGCCUUGGUUUCUUUUAUGACUGCAGAUCUUCUGGGGUAUCAGGUCUUGCACACAGAUCUGUAGGUGAUGACCUGCUGCAGCUGAGUGCCCAGCUGAGCUCCCAACUCUGCCUGCACUUUGGUAGCUGACCUCUUCAUCAAGACCUCUGAAGAGUCACCUCCAGGGGUGUCCCUGCACACUCAUGGGUUGUGUGCCGAGAUGGGAUGUCUGUCCACAUUAUGGGGUUGUCUUACGAAUAAAAU